UACGUAGGGCGCAAGCGUUGUCCGGAAUUAUUGGGCGUAAAGAGCUCGUAGGUGGCGUGUCGCGUCUGCCGUGAAAGCCCAUGGCUUAACUGUGGGUCUGCGGUGGAUACGGGCAGGCUGGAGGCUGGUAGGGGCAAGCGGAAUUCCUGGUGUAGCGGUGAAAUGCGCAGAUAUCAGGAAGAACACCAAUGGCGAAGGCAGCUCUCUGGGACGGUACUGACGCUGAGACGCGAAAGCGUGGGGAGCGAACAGG
rnacentral:rRNA from 1 species